GGGAAUGUGGCUUAGUGGUAGAGUGCUUGUCUAGCAUGCAUGAAGCCUUGGGUUCGAUUCCUCAGUACCA
rnacentral:tRNA from 1 species